rnacentral:rRNA from 1 species
GACGAACGCUGGCGGCGUGCUUAACACAUGCAAGUCGAACGGAAAGGCCCUGCUUUUGUGGGGUGCUCGAUUGGCGAACGGGUGAGUAACACGUGAGUAACCUGCCCUUGACUUUGGGAUAACUUCAGGAAACUGGGGCUAAUACCGGAUAGGAGCUCCUGCUGCAUGGUGGGGGUUGGAAAGUUUCGGCGGUUGGGGAUGGACUCGCGGCUUAUCCGCUUGUUGGUGGGGUAGUGGCUUACCAAGGCUUUGACGGGUAGCCGGCCUGGGAGGGUGACCGGGCACAAUGGUACUACGGUACGGCGCAGACUCGUACGGGAGGCAGCAGUGGGGAGUAUGACACAGUGGGCGGAAGCCUGAGGCAGAAGCGCCGCGUGCGGGAUGACGGCUUUCGGGUUGUAAACCGCUUUCGCCUGUGACGAAGCGUGAGUGACGGUAAUGGGUAAAGAAGCACCGGCUAACUACGUG